rnacentral:lncRNA from 1 species
CCAGAGGACCUGCCAGGUGGAGGAACGCGAACUGGGGGUUGUGGGGGUGGCUUUGUGGAGUCAGCCACCCUCUUUAGUUCUUGCUUGGGCUUCGCUCCCAGCUCUAAGGACACCUGCCAUCUAGAGCGCUUUCUCUGUUAAAGUAGAUUUUCAGCCUCUCUGAUCCCUCAAUUUGGUCUGUUUUCAAAAUAUAGAACGCCAAACUGCUCUCAGUAUAGAUUACCAGGAUGUCCCAGACACUUUAACCCUGUGUGUGGCAGUGACAUGUCCACUUAUGCCAAUGAAUGUACUCUGUGCAUGAAAAUCAGGGAAGGUGGUCAUAAUAUUAAAAUCAUUCGAAAUGGACCCUGCUGAUGGAGCAGUUUACAGAAAAGAAGAUGGAGAGACCACCUUCACUGGCAGACUAGAUAAAUUGCAUUUCCCCUUUUUCUCUUUUCCUGUGUUUCUUUACAUGAGAUUUGUUAACACACAUUUUCUGAGAGCAGGUAUGGAAGACAGCCAUGUGUAGUGAUGGAUAAUUUAAAGAAAAAAAGAAUCCUUGUUUCUUGGCUUUUGCUCCUGGAGUUAAGCUUACUGCCCAGGUGACUUGUGCAUUGCUUUAUUUAGUUGAAAUAAAAUCAGCAUUGAAUUCAG